rnacentral:rRNA from 1 species
GAUGAACGCUGGCGGCGUGCCUAAUACAUGCAAGUCGAGCGAACGGACGAGAAGCUUGCUUCUCUGAUGUUAGCGGCGGACGGGUGAGUAACACGUGGAUAACCUACCUAUAAGACUGGGAUAACUUCGGGAAACCGGAGCUAAUACCGGAUAAUAUUUUGAACCGCAUGGUUCAAAGGUGAAAGACGGUCUUGCUGUCACUUAUAGAUGGAUCCGCGCUGCAUUAGCUAGUUGGUAAGGUAACGGCUUACCAAGGCAACGAUGCAUAGCCGACCUGAGAGGGUGAUCGGCCACACUGGAACUAAGACACGGUCCAGACUCCUACGGGAGGCAGCAGUAGGGAAUCUUCCGCAAUGGGCGAAAGCCUGACGGAGCAACGCCGCGUGAGUGAUGAAGGUCUUCGGAUCGUAAAACUCUGUUAUUAGGGAAGAACAUAUGUGUAAGUAACUGUGCACAUCUUGACGGUACCUAAUCAGAAAGCCACGGCUAACUACGUGCCAGCAGCCGCGGUAAUACGUAGGUGGCAAGCGUUAUCCGGAAUUAUUGGGCGUAAAGCGCGCGUAGGCGGUUUUUUAAGUCUGAUGUGAAAGCCCACGGCUCAACCGUGGAGGGUCAUUGGAAACUGGAAAACUUGAGUGCAGAAGAGGAAAGUGGAAUUCCAUGUGUAGCGGUGAAAUGCGCAGAGAUAUGGAGGAACACCAGUGGCGAAGGCGACUUUCUGGUCUGUAACUGACGCUGAUGUGCGAAAGCGUGGGGAUCAAACAGGAUUAGAUACCCUGGUAGUCCACGCCGUAAUCGAUGAGUGCUAAGUGUUAGGGGGUUUCCGCCCCUUAGUGCUGCAGCUAACGCAUUAAGCACUCCGCCUGGGGAGUACGACCGCAAGGUUGAAACUCAAAGGAAUUGACGGGGACCCGCACAAGCGGUGGAGCAUGUGGUUUAAUUCGAAGCAACGCGAAGAACCUUACCAAAUCUUGACAUCCUUUGACAACUCUAGAGAUAGAGCCUUCCCCUUCGGGGGACAAAGUGACAGGUGGUGCAUGGUUGUCGUCAGCUCGUGUCGUGAGAUGUUGGGUUAAGUCCCGCAACGAGCGCAACCCUUAAGCUUAGUUGCCAUCAUUAAGUUGGGCACUCUAAGUUGACUGCCGGUGACAAACCGGAGGAAGGUGGGGAUGACGUCAAAUCAUCAUGCCCCUUAUGAUUUGGGCUACACACGUGCUACAAUGGACAAUACAAAGGGCAGCGAAACCGCGAGGUCAAGCAAAUCCCAUAAAGUUGUUCUCAGUUCGGAUUGUAGUCUGCAACUCGACUACAUGAAGCUGGAAUCGCUAGUAAUCGUAGAUCAGCAUGCUACGGUGAAUACGUUCCCGGGUCU